rnacentral:rRNA from 1 species
AGUGAACGCUGGCGGUAGGCCUAACACAUGCAAGUCGAACGGCAGCACAGUAAGAGAUUGAUCUUAAGGGAAGAAACUGGCAGACGGGUGAGGAAUACAACGGAAACUACUUUUUCGUGGGGGAUAACGUAGGGAAACUUACGCUAAUACCGCAUACGACCUACGGGUGAAAGCAGGGGAUCUUCGGACCUUGCGCGAUUGAAUGAGCCGAUGUCGGAUUAGCUAGUUGGCGGGGUAAAGGCCCACCAAGGCGACGAUCCGUAGCUGGUCUGAGAGGAUGAUCAGCCACACUGGAACUGAGACACGGUCCAGACUCCUACGGGAGGCAGCAGUGGGGAAUAUUGGACAAUGUGCGCAAGCCUGAUCCAGCCAUACCGCGUGGGUGAAGAAGGCCUUCGGGUUGUAAAGCCCUUUUGUUGGGAAAGAAAAGCAGCAGGUUAAUACCCCGCUGUUCUGACGGUACCCAAAGAAUAAGCACCGGCUAACUUCGU